CCUACGGGAGGCAGCAGUGAGGAAUAUUGGUCAAUGGGCGCGAGCCUGCACCAGCCAAGUAGCGUGAAGGAUGACUGCCCUACGGGUUGUAAACUUCUUUUAUAAAGGAAUAAAGUGAGGCACGUGUGCCUUGUUGUAUGUACUUUAUGAAUAAGGAUCGGCUAACUCCGUGCCAGCAACCGCGGUAAUACGGAGGAUCCGAGCGUUAUCCGGAUUUAUUGGGUUUAAAGGGAGCGUAGAUGGGUUUUUAAGUCAGUUGUGAAAGUUUGCGGCUCAACCGUAAAAUUGCAAUUGAUACUGGCAGUCUUGAGUACAGUUGAGGUAGGCGGAAUUCGUGGUGUAGCGGUGAAAUGCUUAGAUAUCACGAAGAACUCCGAUUGCGAAGGCAGCUUACUAAACUGCCACUGACAUUGAUGCUCGAAAGUGUGGGUAUCAAACAGGAUUAGAUACCCGGGUAGUC
rnacentral:rRNA from 1 species